rnacentral:rRNA from 1 species
GACGAACGCUGGCGGCGUGCUUAACACAUGCAAGUCGAACGGAAAGGCCCUGCUUUUGUGGGGUGCUCGAGUGGCGAACGGGUGAGUAACACGUGAGUAACCUGCCCUUGACUUUGGGAUAACUUCAGGAAGCUGGGGCUAAUACCGGAUAGGAGCUCCUGCUGCAUGGUGGGGGUUGGAAAGUUUCGGCGGUUGGGGAUGGACUCGCGGCUUAUCAGCUUGUUGGUGGGGUAGUGGCUGACCAAGGCUUUGACGGGUAGCCGGCCUGAGAGGGUGACCGGCCACAUUGGGACUGAGAUACGGCCCAGACUCCUACGGGAGGCAGCAGUGGGGAAUAUUGCACAAUGGGCGGAAGCCUGAUGCAGCAACGCCGCGUGCGGGAUGACGGCCUUCGGGUUGUAAACCGCUUUCGCCUGUGACGAAGCGUGAGUGACGGUAAUGGGUAAAGAAGCACCGGCUAACUACGUG